rfam:Parastrongyloides trichosuri strain KNP genome assembly, scaffold: PTRK_contig0000127
UCUCUGGUAGUAUAGUGGUGAGUAUCCGCGCCUGUCACGUGCGAGACCGGGGUUCGAUUCCCCGCCAGAGAG